CAGGCUCCCUGCAGGGUGCCUGCCUGAUGCGGGACUCAAUCCCGGGACCCCAGGAUCAUGUCCUGAGCUGAACGCAGACGCUCAACCACUGAGCCACCCAGGCGUCCCUGGACCUGUCCAUCUCCAUAUGAAUUUUACAACCAGCUUUUCACUUUCUGCAGGAAAAGCCUACGAAGAUGUUAGGACUGUAUUGAAUUUACAGAGUGGUCUGGAAAGAACGGACACCAACACGGAGUCUUCCAACCUCUGGACCUGGCACAGAUCUCCAUUUGUUUAGGACUUCUCUCAUUCACUUCUUCUCCCUCUGCCUGUGUCUCUGCGAAGAGAGAGGCAGAGACACAGGCAGAGGGAGAAGCAGGCUCCACGCAGGAAGCCCGAUGCGGGACUCGAUCCCGGGUCCCCAGGAUCACACCCUGGGCUGCAGGCAGCGCUGAACCGCUGCGCCACCGGGGCUGCCCGGACUUCUCUCAUUUCUACUAAAAAUUUUUUUUGUAGUUUUUAGUGUACUGGUCUUUCACAUCUUUUGUCAGUGACCGAUCUGAGGAUUUCAUAUAUAUUUUUUGUUAUGGUAAGUGCUUGUUUUAAAUUUUAAUUUGAUUCUUCAUUAUUCAUAAAUACAAAUACAAUAGAUUUUUGUAUCUUACAACUUUGAGAAGUUCAUUUAUUAGUUCUGAUAGACUGUAGACUCAAUUGAAUUUUCCACAGAUCAUUUAGUCUACAAAUAUUGUUUUCUUUUUUCAUCCACCUGCAGCACGUUUCUUUUUCUUGCCAUAGGUUAGAACAUUUAGUACAGUGUCAAAUAGAAACGGUAAGGUCGGAAUCCCUGUCUUCUUCCUGAUCUUAGGGAUAAAGUAUUCAGAUUUCACCAUUAAGUAUGAGGUUAGCUGCAGGCUUUUUAUAGAUGACCUUGAUCAAGCUGACAAAGGUUCCUUUUAUUCCUGGUUUGCUGAGAGUUUUUAUCAGGAAUAAAUGUUGGAUUUUGUCAAAUGCUUUUUCUGGGUGUAGGUGAUUAUAUGGUUCUUCUUUUCCAGUUCGUUAACAUGGUGAACCUAUUGAUUAAUUUUCUAAUAGUAAGCCCACCAUGCAUUCCUGGGAUAAACUACACUAGUCAUGAUGUAUUAUUCUUUUUAUAUGCUGUGGGAUAGGAUUUUCUAAAAUUCUGUUUAGAAUUUUUGCAUCUAGUGCAUGAAGGAUACUGGUCUGUGCUUUUCUUAUAAUGUCUUAGUCUGGUUUUGCUAUUAAGGUAACGCUGGCUUCACAAAAUAAGUUGGGAAGUAUUCCUUACUUUACUGGAAAGGUUUUUGUGGACAUGGUAACAUUUCUUUUAAAGUGUUUGGUAGAAGUCAUCAGUGAAUCUAUGUGGGCCUGGAUUUUUCUUUGAGGGAAGGUUUUCAACUGCAAUGUUAGUCUCUUGAAUAGAAUCCUGUUUUCCAGUCAGGCUGGUGAGAACGGGCACCAUUCCUGGCUCUGCAUGAGCACCGGGCAUAGCUCCCUCUCAUCCUCUCAGGAUUUCUCCAGCCCAGGAAGCUCCCUCAUGCACAUGCAUGGAUCAGUACUCUACCAAAUGUCCAAGGGGGACUCGGUACAUCCCACAAGUUCUUGGUGUCUAGCGCUCUCCUCUUCCAUAUUCUAUUUUGUGAAUUCUAGCUACAUUGGUCUCCAACACUCUCAGCUCUGUCUCCCCAGCUUGGAGUCUGUCUGCUUAGCUCCCCCUGGGUUCUCAUCCUUGACCUGUGGCCUAGAGACUCUCUCAAAGAAGGACUGGGACAGCUGUACGGCUUACCUUGCUUGCUAUCCCUUGAGGAUUACUGUCCUCCACUGGCUGAUGUCUGCUCUCUUGAAAACAGUUUUUCACAUAUUUUGUCCAUUUUCCAAUUGUUUCUGGCAGGACUGUAAAUCCAGUCCCUAUUACUCCAUCUUGGCCAGAAGCGGUCAUGAUGGUGACAAAGCAGUGGUACUGCCAGCUCCUGACUCAUUGUUUUCCGGGCCCUUGGUGGCUCAGGGGCUGUAUGUUAGAAUCAUAUUUUGCCCUUUGCAGGCUCACUAGAGCUCUCUGCUGAGGGUGGUUGAGAGUCCUGGGGAAUAUAGAUCCCACUGGGGCAUUUGGGCUGCCAUGCUUCCCAUUUCAACGGGGGAAGGCUACACACUCAGGCACCAUUUUGUUGCUGGUUUGAGGGAAUCCUCAGGCAUUAAUGUGGACUCUCUGCCACACAGUGAGGCUAUUCUAGGCUGAGCAACCCAAGCAUGCUCUAUCCAAGCCCUGUGCUUUUCCUGGUCCUUUUUAGGGUCCUAGGGUGGGUGUGGGUGUGGGGGGAAGUCACACAUUGCGUUAGAGAACUCAGGAGAAUCAGCAAAGGAGAGCCACUUCUAAUAACAAUUGUUAUCGAGAAAGGAGAAGUGAGAGCAAUAAGGCUUUCAGAGGGGGGAGCAGAUACAGUCAGGCUGGGCACCAUGCCCAUCUGAGAGGCGGCGCUGUUCCUUUUCAGCAAGCAUGCCACGUACCUUUUUCUGAGUUUUGUUUUUGCUGAGGACCCACAAUAUAGGCUUCUGUCAGUGUGUACUUCCAAAAUGCCAGAAAACCCAUAGUAGAGAGGCUAGAAAAAUGUACCCUUGAGUCAAGAUUCAGUGGAUGUGGUGUGAUUUAGGGAUUAAUUGUUGGACGAAGGGACCACAGAAAGCUAAAUGCAGUUUCUUGAGAGUGGGGGAUUUUCCUACACUGCUGGCUUACACUCUUCAUUCUUCUGAUAACACCCUUUGGACACAAUCUCCUGGGGAAGCUACCCUCUUCACUCUUCUCCCCAUUCUUUGGGUGACCACUGGCUGACCACAACCCCCAGCUCCAGUGGGCACAUGACCCAGGCCUAACCAGUACAAGGACUAUGCCAUAUCGUUAUUGUAACUGGCUCAGGAAAGCCAAUAUGUGAGUGCCUCUGGGCAUUUCCAGAACUCUGGAAAGGGACAUGCCUUUUCACUGAGGGGUUGGACAAGCCUUUGUUGCUGGUGGUCCCAUCUGCCAUCACAUGGGAAGAGCCAGGUAAAGGAUGAAGCGCACAGAGGGGAGGAAGAAUUGAGACCCUGGAGGGGUCCCACUGAACAUCAUUUAAGCUUUUCAGUGACAUGAGCCACUAUGUUCUCCUUUUUGUUGAAGGCCAUUCAGGCUGAGUGUCUGUCAUGUGCAACUAAUGGGCCAGAGUGCUGAUUUUAUUGCAGUGUGAAGGAUUCCUCUUAUAACUCAUCCCCUGGGCUAACUUUUGUCACUCAUGCUUGACCCGUGGCCUCUCUCUCCCAGCCCUGACCAUGUGAGUGUUCGGGGCUGCAAACAGCAGAGGGAAGUGGACUGCUGGUCCCCAGUCGCCGAGGAGUGGCCCUUACCUGCAUAUUGUUCCAGGCAGCCUCCCCGCGGCCCCGGACGCAGCUCUCCAGUCUCAGCGGGGAGCCCAGGGCCCCGUGCUUCGUGUCGACACACAAUCCUGUGCCCACAUUGUGGAUCUGAAAGAGACAGAAGGAUCAUGUGGACCAGUCCAGGAAUUGAAUCCAGGGUGAUCCAGGGGCCAUACGCUGAAAACCACCUUACAGAAGGACAUGACAUCUGUGCUGUAGGCUCUUAGACUUUCUGCCUUUUAGAGUAGGGAAUCUGACUGCCCAGCUGCUGCGUUCUGAAUCCAUGGUGUCUGAGUCGAGGCCAUGCUUCCCGUGGACUGCUUCCUGCCAGCCACUAAGGGUGGCAGGGGUACCGCAGCCGGCCAUUCCUGGGAGAUGCCAGACUCCUCUGAUCUGGCAUGAAGACUGCUCAGUAACUUGGCUCAAGAUUCCUGAGAGCACUCUUGCAGGGUGGGACUCCUCCUACCUCAGCCCUUCCUCCUCCUCUCUCCCCUUCUCAGAGGCCAAACCAACCCCACAUCUGAUCUCCCGGCCUCUCCUGGAUCCCUUCUCAUUUCUUCCCUCUUCCCCCAACAAGUUUCUUGGUGUCUGUUUCUCAGUGGACUGGACCUAAUAUAGAGGAGAAAGCCAAUAAACUGGCAAAGAAAGGAGAGCUUCAUGAAGUCAACAUGACACCUCCUCUAGAAUAUUUAUGCUGGCGUUGGGUAGGGCUGGCCAGACAGCUUAGUCAGGAAAGAUCCUUCUAACUUGCUGUGUGAAUUUGAACAAGUCAUACCUAGUGUUUCUGCUGGCCCAAAUGUAUCUCUCCUUCCUGGUAGCAACACCCUGAUUUUCUAUGGGGCUACUGAUCCUUGCCUACCCUGUGGCUUGUCAGGGUAGCUGUCCUACCCUUGUUCUCCCCUUCCUCCAGUGGCCACAGUGAUUGGUGCAGACCUAAGAGUAAGACCUUUGUUGGCUUCACUGGGAAGGAGGCAUAUACUUUUUGCUGAUUGGCCAAGCUGAAGAUUUGUCAGCUUUGAGCUUCUGGAAUCAUCUUGCUGCCCUGAGCAUGAGACUCACACAAAAGGAAGUAGAGGUAAACAGGAGAAAAAGAAACCGAUAUCAUCUGAGCCCCUGGAUCCAGGUGUAUCUGAAGCCAUAGCUCCCCAAAGUCUCUAUGAGAAUUAAUACAUUUCUCUUUUCACUUUAUUUUUAAAAGAUUUACUUAUUUAUUCAUGAGAGACGGAGACAGAGAAA